AAUGAAGAUUGGCAACAGAUGUUAGCCCAGGUGCCAAUCUUUAAAAAGGAAAAAAGAAGAAGAAGAAAUUGUGAAGUAGUUAAUAAGCUUCCACUGCUGCAAAAAUGAAAUUCUCAAAGAUAAAAAACAUGUAUAAAAUAGUCAAAGAUCAAAAAUGCUGAGAAGAGACCUACACUUUCUCUGCCCUGUGCACUACUUCUGCGGACCUAUUUGCGCCUUUAGCUACCCAGCAGGCAUCCCUUCAUUCUAUUAAUCCUUUUCCUCCCGAGAGAGUUUGUUUGCUUAUUUACUAUGAUAGAAACAUAUUGCUUUCUAGGAUUCUUUAGACCUACAUCUGCUGGAUCAAAUAAGUGUUAAUACUGGGCUUUAUGACUUAGACCAUCAGACCAACCAAGACUGAUGCAUGCAAUGCAUAUGUUUCAGAUCACAUGAUUUAUCAAGGACUUUAGAAUUGACUCUUUACAAGUUCUGUUAGAAGAAAAAUCACAGUAUAGCAAAACUAUUUCUAACUCCUAACUAAUGAUUCACUUAUUUUAAGUAAUACUCAACAUAAUCCCAAGCAGGCCUAUAAUUGCCUCUUAGAAUUGGUUUGAGUAGGAUUUGAACCACAUAUGCUCCAUAAAGCAGGCAAUGAGCACUUAGCAAUGAUUAACUAUUGAGAAACGGGAAAUAGAGAAUUAUAUUUUAGCUGUCCCUUACAUACCAGCACAACCAAAAUUAAGGGCAAAAUUUCUAACACAAAUGAUUGCAUCUGGGCCAGGCACGUAGCCCCCAUGUCAUAGUCAAUAACCAUUUUCUGAAUAUCUCCAUGAGCUGCAAUUUUCUUCUUUUCGUCUCUUGGUUCCAUCUCUUGGAUCCAUCAUAGGAUCCAAAUCGUUUUGCUCAGUUUAGGUAGCUGUGGCAAGGCUGUGCCAAUUGUUUUUUGGGUUUUUUCUUUCUUUCUUUUUCUUUUUUUUUCCUCCUCUAUUUUUUAUUGAGGUUAUGAUAGUUUACAACCUUGUGAAAUUUCAGUUGUACAUUAUUACUUGUCAGUCAUACAGUAGGUUAUGCCAAUUGUUUUCUAAAAUACAGGUAUUAAUCAGACAGCAUUCAAGAUUGUCCCUAUACAAAUGUCACUCAGUCACUCAAUUUGGAGAAGCCUCCUGAGUAGGAGAGAAGGAGGUGGAGUUAGAGGCGGCCCCUGGGGACUUGCACAGAAUGCUGUAUGCCCUGGAGUGUGCAAUGUGGGUCUGAUCUGCAGGGUGGGAGAGGAGAAAAAUGCUGAGGGACACUGUCAGGGAGUGGACCGGGACACUGUCACAGGGCUGUCUGAGCAUUUGCAACGUGGAGAGAAGACCUGUGCCAGCCUCACUCCCACCCUGAAUCCUCUCCCCCAACACCCUCCCCCGAGUAAGACCCACCCUGUCCACAGCACAGCUCUACUGGACCAAGGAGGGACCCAGCAAGCAGGGCCUGCCUCUCCAGGACUGUCCCUGCCCCCGAGGGCCCCUGCUGAGGGGUGGACGGGCACAUAAGAGACACCCUUAUGUGCUGAUGUGGAAGGAGAUGACCAGUUAAGGAGGGCCUCCCCUGUGCAAAGGAGAAGAGAAAGGGACAGAAUGGCUUCUGGGAAUGGCCUGCAGUGAGUGCCUCUCUCUGCUGUCAGUGCCCUCAUCUCCCAGUUCUGCGUGUAGCAGUAUGGUUGCAUCCAACUGCCGAGGUCCUGGAAUGAGCGAGGAUGCCGGACGGUGCCAAACCACAGGAGCAGGAGCGAGAGCGUAGGAAAGGGCUGGUGUGCCUCCAGUGUCAGCUUUGGGGCCAUGCUGGCAUCAAGGGAGAAGCACACUGGGGCCAUUGUACUGCAGAUGAGGCUUCUGGAAACGAAAGCUUGAACAUUUGAUGAAUAUGGGAAACUUUCAGCAGAAAUUCAGUUUUCCCAGCAGUUAAUACGUAUUCACUCCAUGCAAGGCAUUGAGGGGGUUCUCCAAGGGAACUGGAGACGAGCAGGAUGUGGUCUCCACCUUCAAGAGGUCUGAGGACUCUCAAAAGAGUAGGGGAAACAGAUCCACAGACAAUUUAUACAGCGACAAGAUGACACCGACUGUUAUUGACAUGUGACACCCAGGGCUGGGUCCACUGGUGAGGACGAGGAGGAUUCUGGCCUUUGGGGCAUUUAAGCCCCAUCCAUUCACUGGUUCAUAAGCGCGUAUUUGGAUAUUCCAUUUCGGACAUGCUGGCUUCAGACUGAUGUGACACAUUUAAGUGAAGACAUUCAAGUUUGGAGCUCAGAAUCUAGACUAGAACUAUAAUCAGGGUCUAAAGGCAAUGGGUGAGAUCACCAAGGAGCAGGUGUGGUGAGAAAAGAACAGCCAAAGGAAGUGCGUGGGUGGGAGGGGCUGGCAGGCAGUAAAGAGGGAGGAGGCAGCCAAGGAGCUGUGGCAUUACUUUAACGGGAGAUGCUGUACUCACAGAAAAUGCAUCUCCAGAGAUGUGAAACAGCAGGUCGUUCUAGAGCGAUGAUGCUGGGAUGCAGCAUGAAAACCGCCCCUGCCACGGAGCGAGAGAAGCUUUCUGCAGCCCGUGGGCAUGAGAUGACGGCCGUCCACCCAGCCCGUGAGGACUGCCUGAGCCACGCUCAGCACUUCACACACGUUAUUGUCACUGUAUUCAGUGCUCACUGCACCCUUCCAGGCGGGAAUUACUGUGGCGUGCAGAGAGGCUGGGUCACUGCCCAGAUCACGUGGCCAGAAGGAGGCUGGGCCAGGAUUCCACCCCAUCUCUCUAGCAGCCUGGGGCUUGCAUGAAGGCUCACCGGUUUCAGAAUACACAGAUGUGGUGUGCCUGAAUUCACAGGACAGGGCCUGUGCAGGGUCUGUGAGGAGAUGUCCUAGUGGACAGAAUCCAGAAAGAGCAAAUUAAGCUGAACAAGCCAAGCCUGACACCAUGUCGACUUGCUUCCGUUGUGUUAGGUGUUGAGUCAGUCAGUUACCACACCCGUUUCUCCCUGCAUGCUUUCAGUAACACUUGUCUCUUCUUUGGGUCUCUUACACUUCUCCUAUCUCCCAGGUUCUCUUGUGCUUGGGAUUCAGUCCUUUUUCCCCACGACUAAUGCUACAUGCCCUCUUGCCCUACUCUCUCAUCUUCUUGCCUGCAUCUGCUUCUCCCUCUGCCCUUUCUCCACCUGAUCUUGUCCCUUCGAAAUCUAACAUGCAAAUUGCAAUUACUCUCAUUUUUCAAAUUUACCAUCUUGAUGUCACAGUUUUCUUUUUCCAGUAUUUUCCAUAAUUCUCUAGUGCUCUGCGAAGCAAAUUCAUGAGAUUGAGAUCCAAAGGCAUUUAUAAGUCUAAUUGUAAUGCUCUUUGUUCACAAGAAGCUACUGUGGACACUGAGGGCAAGGCCAUACUGUCUUCCUUCUUUGUGAUGGUCCAAUCAGCAUCACCACCAUCAUCUCGUUUUAUUUGCAACUAAUUUCAAAAUCUUCACGCACUCUUUCCCAAUAAAAGAAACUGAGUGCUCUGUUUGAUACCAUCAAGCCUAUCAUUCUCUUCCUCUCCUUCCGGGGUGGGAUGGAGAGCCAGCCUCCUAUAGGAAAUCCUCCCAGAUGGGCAAAGGAGCCUCCCAGACUUCUGCCCCCUUCCCUGUGUGGCAUGGGCUUGUGUGGGCACUGGGACAGGCAUUCUGAGCCACUCUCCUCAUCCCCAUCUCUCAUCCACACUCUCUCCCCUCCUCCCAUCAGAAGCCACACAUUCUUCACCAAUCUCCUGACUUACUUUUGAAAUCAUUUAUCUAUCUGAAGUGUCCAUCUCCAUAAAGGAUGGUGUGAACAUGUGAUUUUUAUAUGUAUUUGUCAAUGUUUGGAUCAGUUUGUAUUUCUUGUGUGUACCGUCCUAUGGCUUGGUGCAUGUGGAAUACACACAUGCUGACAUGUGGACCUAUGCGGGCCUAGUUCCAAAUGACCUGAAAGGAAUAUUGUGGUAACUGAACAUUGGCACGUAAAUGCAACAUACGGAUAUGAUCCCUGGGGGGGAUGUAUGUGGGACUGCCCUCGGGAUUUUAUGUUGCCUAGGUAAACCGGGGAGGUGAUUUGCACUGUGCUAAUAACAAAUCAGCUUAUUUAUGGGUCACUGUGAGUGACUCCCUUACAAGCUACAUUACAGAAAUAUUUGUCUGUGGUCUGACAUCCAUGUGGCACUAUAGUCUGAGUUGAUAAUAGCUGAGCCACCCUCUCUAUAGGUAACAUAUGAGAAGAACGGCAUGGUUGAAAAUAUGCUAAAGGGCUUAAAGAAAGCAAUUACAAAACCUCCUAAAAAUCUAGUUUGAACUAACAAGUACAACAAGUAAACUGUGUUUACAGUUUCAAACUCUGAUUCAGUAACCUUCUUGAAAACCACUACCUGGUUUAUUCCUUUUACAAUAACAAACCCAAAGUUUUUAUUUUACUAAAGUAUAUGGGUUAAUCCUUUGUUUUCUGUCCUUUCUGAAAUAUGUAUAAUUACAAAAUCACUCCAUACCACCUCUGCUGUAUGGUAAUGUUUGGUCUAUAAGGAGGAUGCUAGAACACUGGGGGAGCAAGAAGCCGAGUCCAUAGAGGAUUUAUUUAUAACCUCUUUGCUUCAGUAGAAAGCUACAUUCUUCUGGUUUUGUCUAGUUAUGUGCAUUAAGUAUUUCGAAUGCAGAAAACAGCUCAAAGAGGACAUUCAUGCUGAUUCGGGCUCACAGUUGAUCAUCUGAGUAAAUGACCUCAAUUAAACCGAGGAGGCGAAAGGAAGCACUUCCUGGAGCUACCACGCAACACAUUCGGGCGGGACCCAUCACCUUCGCGAACACCCCGGGGUGGUGGCGGAGCCGCAGGCCACUGGGCUUUGGCAGCGACUCAAAGAGGCGCAGGGAACGCACUCCAGCGGGGUGCGGGGGCGGCCCCGGGCUGCGGCGUCCCCGCCCUCCGCCGCGAGCCCCUGAUUGGGUCCGCACCGUCGCCCCCGCUCCAGCCGGCUCCCCGCCGGGGCAGCGAGCCCAGCCGAGCCGAGCGCGGGCUGCCGGGUCCUCGCCCAAGAUUUAAAACGAGCAAGUUUUGUUCUUGAGACCAAUGACUGUCGCUCCGAUGUUGGGAGGAAAGCCGACGCCUGCUUUAGGAGUUUAACAAGCUGGGGUUACACUUGGUCCCCAGAAGCUCAAGGCGUAAGUGGUGUGACAGGAGAUCUUUACAAGGCUAGCCUGCCCUUAGAACUCUUGCUCCAAAAAGGAAAAUAAGAUGUUCAGAGAACGGCAACUCAGUCCAAACUUACCUCCCAGAGAUGAGGAACUGUUGCUUGUUCUGAACGAAUGCAUCAUUAGUCCCACACACUGGACCUAAUGAAAAGUGUAUUGAGACCAGUUGUUUCAUAUGGAAACGCAUCUAUUAAGAGGUGAUCGAUCGUCUGAUUAAAAACAUUGCUCUGCAGCCGACCGCAUCCCAGCUGGGGCCGAGGCCCCUCGUGGGUGGAAAUCUUGUCUUCCUUCCGGAUCGCCGAAAGGGGGAAGUUCUAGCACGCUCGGCGGGGAUAAACCUCAUCUCCUCGGAUGGUUUGUUCUUUGUGCCGGGGACCGGAGACGGGCUCCCUGGGCGUGCAGGGAGGGCUCCGGGCCACCGAGCCUCUGCCCCGCCCUGCCCGGUCCCUGCCCGGCCGGACAGCCCCGCCCCGCGGCGCCGCGCCUCCUGGCCGGAGCAGCUCUCGGGCUCCGGGAAAGGAGACUCGGGGUCUCUUCUGCUCCCUCUUGGUCCAGGUGAGGGCUCUGAAGGGCCGAGAGGGGAAGAGAGUCUCCAGGAGGCGACGGCACGUUCUUCCACUCGGGGCUCCAGGACUGUAGGUUGGGACGCGCGCGGGGGCCGGGGAGCGCCGCUGGAGAGGCACCCGGCCCGGCCCGCUGCCCCGGCCCGGCGUCGGGAAGCUGGGCCGGCCCUGCUCGCCGCGGGGGAGCGCUGCCCGCGGCCGAAAGCGCGGCGGGGAAGGAGGGCGCCUUCCCUCCCCGGAGCGCCUUUGUUCGGCCCGGCCUGCGGGCGGGCGCCCGGCGGCCGUGACCCCGGGCCGAGCCGUCGCCCAGGUGCGCCAGGUCCAGAUUCCAGGUUGCACCAGAACAUUUACUCACUCUGGUAGGAGAUCUGCACAGGAAACACCUCUGCAGCCUUCCCAGCAUCCUGUCUGUGGCCCACCACGCAGGAUGUCAUGAUUCUGGAAAUGAUUCCUCAUUGUUUCCUAUUUGCUGCAAAUACACCUUACUUUGUGAGACAACUACUUCCGGUGGAGAGUCUGAUUUAACUCGCCAGGAGCGAACCCACUUUGGUUUUGGUAACAUAACCCUUUAAAUGCUUUUAAACCAAUAAUUCAAUCAAUAUUGACAUCAGUUUACAUUUACUAUUUUCUUGAUUAUCCACUUUUUAAAAGACAGUAUGGUCAAGGAGACAACAGGCUCAAAAUGGAGUCACUUAUGCUAAGCACCUCUUCGUUUGGUUUCGUCAAACCCAGACUUCAUACCUAACUUAAUCACAGUGGCAGCCUCUCUCAGGGAUGGAAUCUUGAGCCAGUCAAUCUGGAAUCACCUGGUCGGCACUAGUGAGCUAAUCUGCCUGAUAGACCGCUGCCAUCCCCCAAAGGAAGGGGAUUUGCCACAAUGCUGGUGAUCCUGUAGUUCUGCCCAUCACAAACGUUUCCCUAAUUUCCAGUGCCUCGGUUUCUGUGGAACAAACUCAGCCACUUCUCUACCGUGUCAGUCUUUCUAACCCUGGGGGGCUAUUUUUCUGCCUCUGGUUAACAACUCCAAACGCAGGGAACCUCGCAUCCAGGCUCUGUACAAAGAAAGGGACACCAGGCAAGAGAAACCAGAAUAAAACUGCCUGUGUGGUCUAAAGACUCACAAAUGUUACUGGCCUCCCUGGCUGUCACUUUUCCAAUCCUGAGCUACAGACUCAAACGGCAAUUCCCAGGAGGCAUUCAUGAUUCAAAAUGUGCUUCCUUUCCUAGAUCACUGCUCCCCUGGCUAGGAGUAAGUGCAAAUGAGGCUAUGAUAAGCAACCUCUCCUUAACUCUGGAAGAUAUUACAGAAGGUGCUGCUAAAGCAAUAGCUGCCCAAUAAAAAUUCCUUAGACUCUCUGGACAAAGUUGUACUUGAUAAUAGGAUGGCCCUUGAUUAUCUUUUAUCUGAGCAAGGAGGUGUCUGUGCUGUGGCCAACACCACUUGCUGCACCUCAAUUAACAAUUCCGGGGAGGUUGAAAGUCAGUUACAUGAGAUCACUGAACACGUCGCUUGGCUUAAGAAAGUGACUCCUUCAACAGGGUCUUUCUUUGACUUAUUUGAUUCUGAUUGGUUUAGGUCCUGGGGACCAUGGUUCAGAAAUACACUCCAGACACUGGGAAUUAUCUGCUUAUAAUAAUCAUAAUACUCUCCCUGCUGCACUGUAUUCCCUCAAAAGCUUUAAAUGCAUGUUUGCAGCCACUAACCACCAAGCAAAUGAUCUCCCUGAGACUGGGACAUCAGAAAAGGAAUAAAGAGAAUUACCAAUUUAAAAAUAUGAACCUGAAGCCAUGACUUGCGGAUACCACAGAGAUUCAGCAAAAAAAAGGUCAAAACUUGUGAAUACCACACAGAGGAUCAGCAAAAACUGCAAGAACUUCAGGGUGGUAGCUGAGAUUGGUGCUAAUGCCUUAAAUUUUUAUUUUAUUUUUUAUUUUUUGGUGAGGAAGAUUGGCCCUGAGCUAACAUCUGUUGCCAAUCUUCCUCUUUUUGCUUGAGGAAGAUUGGCCCCAACCUAACAUCUGUGCCAAUCUUCCUCUAUUUUGUAUGUGGGACACUGCCACAGCAUGGCUUGAUGAGUGGUACGUAGGUCCAUGCCUAGGAUCCAAACCUGCAAACCCUGGGCCACCAAAGCAGAGCAUGCAAACUUAACCACUAUGCCACUGGGCCAGGCCCUAAUGCCUUAAAUUUUGAUCACAUAUCUCACUUAAGCUGAGAGUCUGAUCAAAAGGGGAAAUUGUUAAGAAAAAAAAAAAAGGCCCAAAAUGGAGUCACUUAUGCUAAGCCCCACAUCAACAAACCAAGACUUCUAUCCUAACUUAAUUACAGUUUCAGCCUCUUCCAGUAAUGGAAUCUUAAGCCAGUCAAUCUGGAAUCACCUGGUCAGCACUAGUUACGUAAGCUGACCUCUGCUGUCCCUCAAAGGAAGGUGACCUUGCCGCAACCGAUCCCUUUUUACUAGUAUAACUUCCUUCUCCCACUCCCUUCUGUGUAUAAAAAUCUUCCAUUUGGCAGAGCUCCUUGGCACUCCUUUCUAUCUGCUGGAUGAGAUACUGCCCCAUUCAUGCAUCACUGAAAAAAGCCAAUAAGACCUUUAAAAUGUAUGCAGUGGAAUUUCGUUUUCUAAUAGUAUCCUUGGAAGCUUGGUUUAUAAGAUACCGUUUUCAGCUCCUGCUUGCUGCUUUUAUGAGACUCAUGAAUUUUAUUCUCAGGUAAGUAAAUGAAGGUUAGUAUAUAGAAUAAAUAUGUGAUUUUUAUCUGGGAAAGAUAAGCGAUGAGAUUUAAAACAGAAGAUACUCUACCCCAAGCCCCCAAUCCCCGACCCUGGUCAAGGGGUUAAAAUGACGUUUACAAAGGACUCCGCAGUCUCACCUGCCAGGGGAAAGAUUUUCGGGACCGCCGAGAUGCUCCGGCUCAGGGUUCUCCCCACCAUGACUGCUUUCAAGUAUUUCUUCAUCCUGAAGUGAAAGAAAUUUUGGUAUGACAGUCUAUUUGAUUUUGGGGGGUGGGUGGCUCUUAAUCUAUAUUUUUCUUUCACCAAAUUCGUUUUGUUUCAUUUUUGUUUAGAAUUUUCUAGAUGAAUAACAUAUCCUGUUUCUCAUCUUUCUCUUUCUUUCUUGGGUUUUCCCCAACCACUCUGCUGAUCUGUUACAGUUUGCCCUUCGGGCUGCCUGUAGGAACAUCAAAACUCAUUCUCAAAAGCAGGUAUCCUUGUUCCUCAAUGAUGAAGGGCUAUUAACAUUGCGCUCCUCCCCUUCCCCCUUGAUUCACAAAAGGGACUCAGAGUUUGAGCUAAAAGGGGCAAUAAAGAGAUCAUUUGACUCAAUAUCUCCCUUUUUUUUCCAGGGGUGAGGGGUAAAAAAUCAAGGUCUGGAGAAAUUGAGACCUGCCCAAAGCCAGAAAGAGAGCUAGCGGCAGAGAGGAGAGAAGCCCGGUGUCCACUUUCACAUGCUGGUGCUCACAAGUCCGUUCUAUCACACCGCCUUUUAAAGCAGCUGGUUCCCUAGGCAGUGCGGCGCGGCCACCAGCGCAGGCUUGAAGCCAGCUGGCGGUCAGAAGCCCGGCUUGCCCAGCUCUGAGACCUUGGGCAAGCUCACUGAACCUCUCUGCCUCCAUUUCCUCCCCUAGAACAUGGAUCCCACGGCACUCCCUACCAUAGGGCUGUGGCCUUCUUCAGAAUAAUACUAGGCAUUUAACUCUCAAAAAGAGAGUGAUUUAAACUGCCUUUCAGAGAAUCUGCAAAGUCGUGUAGCCAAAGUAUGUGCAAAAGAAGAACUGUUGGCCUAAAAUGACUGUGGAUCCAAAGCUCCUCCUUCCCACGGAACCCAAGGGCAGAGACACGACGAGAACGUGAAAGUAGGACUCUUAUCAGAAGCAAAGGGUCUCUCAUUCAGGAAGAUCUGGUGUUAAAAUUCCUUCCCCACCUCAUCAAAAAUGUUUAGAACCCUGUCAUAAAAGUUUAGAACCUCAUCAUAGAAGUUUAGAACGCUGUCAUAAAUGUUUAAAACCUUACCAUAAAUGUUUGAAGCCCACCCAUAAAAACUUGUCCCAAAAGCAUUUCUGCAUGCCAGUCUGUUCUCCCUAACCUCUUAAAUUUUGCCCCAAAUCCUCAAUCCAGGAGACAGAUCUGAGGGCACGUGCACCCUAUUCUCCCUGUAGAUGGGUCUUGCAGAAUAAAGCUGAUCUCUAUUCUA